rnacentral:rRNA from 1 species
AACUACUGGAAACGGUAGCUAAUACCGCAUAAUCUCUAAGGAGCAAAGCAGGGGAACUUCGGUCCUUGCGCUAUCGGAUGAACCCAUAUGGGAUUAGCUAGUUGGUGAGGUAAUGGCUCACCAAGGCGACGAUCCCUAGCUGGUCUGAGAGGAUGAUCAGCCACACUGGGACUGAGACACGGCCCAGACUCCUACGGGAGGCAGCAGUGGGGAAUAUUGCACAAUGGGCGCAAGCCUGAUGCAGCCAUGCCGCGUGUAUGAAGAAGGCCUUAGGGUUGUAAAGUACUUUCAGUUGGGAGGAAG